rnacentral:lncRNA from 1 species
UGAUCUAGUCACCUAGCUUGCAAGGUUCCCUCUUGUCUCUAACUGGCCGACCUUCUUCUACUUCAACAUCGGCCUCUAGAAAUCCCCUUUCAGUUAACUGUUUCUCCAAUGCGGCUUCAAUUAUGUCUCUAUCGAAAUGGAGUGCUUCAAAUUUCGCCAAAUCGCUUGUGUGUCAAGGCUAUUGGCCAAUAGGCUUUCAUUGGUGGUGCCUGAGCUACUCUCCUUAUUCAACCAGUCAUCCUUUGUAAAAGGUCACUGAUAAUUCAUGCCUUGUGGGAAAAAAAUGAUUCGAGGAUUUGGUCAAAAAAGUAUUGGAAGGCGGGCAUGUGUUUCGGUGGAUAUGAGGAAGCCUUUUGAUUUAGUGAGCUAGGAAUCAAUUAUUGUUACUUUGGAAAGUAUGGGAUUCAAUUAUCACUUCAUAAGAAUUAUAGUGGAUUAUAUAUCACAACUACCCAAGUUCUCGAUCUUGGUGGAAGGUGAACUAACCAAGAAUUCAAGGGUAGUUAUUGGGACUUCGAAAAGGUGACCCUCUAUCUCCUCUACUUUUUAAUCUGGCGAUCGAAAAUAUUUCACAAGUUUUUAUGAUAAGGAAUAUUGCAAACAGCUUGAUACGUAUUAAUGUUGCUGAGGGUCCAAGAUACGUAUCGACUAUGUUGAAGGAAAGGUCGCUCUUAUGUCGUCGGUAGCUCUCCAACAAGACCAACUGAUCUUGAGCUAGAUCUUGAUAAGAAAUUUACAAGCGAUCUUGCCUCAGGUAGUCUCCUACAAGACAUCAACAAGUGUAGGGUCUUGCCUGUAGAAGUUGUACGCAUCAAGGACUCAAACAAGGUAGUUACAUCUUCAUUGUAGAUGGUGAAAAACGAAUCAGGAUCUUUACAGGUAGAUCUGACCUAAAUAAUUUACCAAGAAACUCUAUAAGCUAACCUAAGUUUAUGGUUCAGCUUAUAAACCUCUCAAGUGUUGAUCUUAAAACAAUACUUCUUACAACACUUGGAACAUGAUUUGUAGAAAAGGGGAUUAAAAAAACUCUUUGCUUACAACAACACUCACUCUUAGUCUUGGAGAAUAAAAGGAGGAGAUGAUGAGCACUUGAAUCAAGUGAUGAUGACUCUCCCUUAAAGACACGAAUCUCUCUUGGUGGUGUUUGAAAGCAAUGAAAGCAAAGAGACAAUGAGCUCUUAUGGAGUGAUGCACGAUUUCUCUCUUCGAAGUGUUGGCUUCCUUUGGUUGAUCAUAGACUAUUUAUAGAGUUUUGAGAAUCAAAGUGGUUGAGAAGAGCAUUAAUAUUCCUUUGCAUUAGUUGGAAAUAUUAUUCAUCCAUAGCAUGGUUUAGAUCUAGCACACAUUAGAGGAUAAUGUGGUUGUAUAAUUAAGUUCAACACAUACUAGCAAUAUAUUUAAAGGAAUAAUUAAAUAGUUUGAACACAUGUUAGGAUAAAAUCGAUUAUAUAUAUGAUUAAUGUUUAAUUUGAUUUCUCUUAUAUAAUAUCUUAGAUCUAGCACAUAUUAGCAUUUAAUUCAUAGAUUAAAAUUC